rnacentral:rRNA from 1 species
UGGGUAAUCUUUGAACGUGAAUCGUGCUGGGGAUAGAUGAUUGCAAUUAUUCAUCUUCAACGAGGAAUUCCUAGUAAACGCAAGUCAUCAGCUUGCAUUGAUUACGUCCCUGCCCUUUGUACACACCGCCCGUCGCACCUACCGAUUGAAUGACCCGGUGAAAUCUUCGGAUCGUCGUAUUGCCCGAUUCAUUCCGGGCGAUGUGACGCAAAGUUGAUUAAACCUUGCCAUUUAGAGGAAGGUGAAGUCGUAACAAGGUUUCCGUAGGUGAACCUGCGGAAGGAUCAUUA